rnacentral:lncRNA from 1 species
AUAUAUUCUUCAUUAAGUGGCAAAAUACUUUUAUGCUCUUGUUCUUUAUAUAUAUAAUAAAUAAAUAUUUAAAUAAAUAAAAAUCAUAAACCAUAAAACUCAACUCUAAACCCUAAAUCAUCAAUCUUAAACCCUAUUUUUUUUUGGAAAUACGAACCCUAAACCCUAAACCAUCAAUCCUAAACCCUAUUUUUUUUUAAAUACGAACCCUAAACCGGGAAACAUCAACUCUAAACCCUAAACUCCGAAACAUCAACUCUAAACCCUAAACCCCAAAACAUCAACUCCAAACACUAAACCCUAAACCUUCAACUCUAAACCCU